GAUGAACGCUGGCGGCGUGCCUAAUACAUGCAAGUCGAGCGAACGGACGAGAAGCUUGCUUCUCUGAUGUUAGCGGCGGACGGGUGAGUAACACGUGGAUAACCUACCUAUAAGACUGGGAUAACUUCGGGAAACCGGAGCUAAUACCGGAUAAUAUUUUGAACCGCAUGGUUCAAAAGUGAAAGGCGGUCUUGCUGUCACUUAUAGAUGGAACCGGGCUGCAUUACCUAGUUGGUAAGGUAACGGCAUACCAAGGCAAAGAUGCAUAGCCGACCUGAACGGGUGAACGGCCACACGGUAACUGAGAAUGGGUCCAGACUCCGACGGGAGGCAGCAGUAGGGAAUCUUCCGCAAUGGGCGAGAGCCUGACGUAGCAACGCCGCGUGAGUGAUGAAGGUCUUCGGAUCGGAAAACUCUGUUAUUAGGGAAGUACAUAUGUGUAAGUAGCUGUGCACAUCUUGACGGUACCUAAUCAGAAAGCCACGGCUAACUACGUG
rnacentral:rRNA from 1 species